CGCCUACCUGAAUGCAUUUAGUCUGUGUUCUUCUUUUUGUUCUGUGUUUGAUCGUCAUUGUACGUUGUAUCUCUGUCAAGCACCCUGGUUUGUUGGUCCCUUGGAUUCUUUGUUCCCUUGUACCUUGCCUGUCUGUGGAUUUUGCCUGCCCGUCGUUGGACUUGUUUUUCUGUUUUCGACUUCUUACCUGCUGAGAGUUGCUUUGCCCGCCAAUUCAGUGCUUUCUCCAAGUAACUGGCUAACUGUACCUGGAGAAAGUAAUGCACACUGACACACCGUCCAGUUUCAAAAGUGAGAUACCAGAUUUCAACUGGGAACAUAAAGAAGGCCCAGAUGUCUUUUGGAGACCUCAAACUGAGUUUACUCUCACAUGUGAAGCAUCUGGAAAGAGUUAUGGUCACCACUCGACCACAAGAAAGCAUCCACCAUGUGGGAUCAGUACCUUGUGUGUUACUGAAGGCAAAGAGACAAGAGAGAUGCCCUCCCUGAGCCUAGCAGGCAGACCAGGACUGCCUGUCUCUUCAGUCUCCAGGCUCUAGAUGUCCAAUAAAGGGAGGAACCAGGGGUACCUGACUGAGGCUCCAUUCAAGAAUAAUAAAAGCACAAAGCUUGGAUAUCCGACAUGUGGUUCAAAUUCCUCCCAUCUUUACAAGGACUUGGUGAAGGCUCUCGUCACAGGUAUACAAAGAAGUACAAUUUCUUCUACUUGUAUUGCAAUAUUUGUUAUGUCCUAACCAACAGACCUCACCAUUAUGGUUGCUACCUGCAUAACACCUUUACAACUUUCCUCAAGGUGUGUAUUUUGAGGUUUGCUAAAUGUCCAGAAAUACCCAUAUCACACCAUUAAUAUCCCAAGCAGAGCUCUCAUUCUUUCUCUUUCCCUAAAUGUCUGGCAGCUGUAGCCAGCAUUUAUGAAGUCGAUGUACACAGUUAUUAAUCUAAGGCAGUCGGGGCGAGUGGGGGGUUGGAUCAUUACUCCUAAUGCCGACAUCUGAGGCCCGGAACAGGAUAAAAACACUCUGAUCUCCUUCCCACAUGCUCUACAGCCUUGGAACUUUCCCCCAGCAGCCAGAUUCCUUUUGACGGUGGAUCAAACGAACCUUUGCUUCCCUCGAAUGAGUCUCUCCUCAGUUACUCCCAUCGUGAGCAUCCUUCCUUUCUAUGCUCAAAAUGUCAGGGAAACACAAGCUCUCUUUACUUACUUGUGUAAAUUUCCUGUUUAAGUCCUGUGUGUAUUAAGUGCCAAUGGCUGUCUGGGCUCACCAGACAUUCCUACGAGAGGGUAGUAGAGUGAAAGAACAGAGGCUCUCAGGCUCUCCCCUGUCUGUACAGUUUACUCUGCACCUAUUGCCCUAUAGGGGGAGCCAUGACCUCAUGUUCCUGCUGUCUUACUCUUCCUCUGCUCCAGCUCUUCUGCUGUUCUGAUUCACAUUGCUUCCAGUGUUGUACUUAAAAACAACUCCAGGCUCAGGCUUGGCCCCAGCCCUGUGAAUAUAUCAGAAACAGAAUAUACUUUGAUCAAGUGCAAUGCAUCUUACAUAGUGACGUGGAAGGACAGACGGGCAGCAACAUACACCGGUUAACGAUACGUGAUUAAUGUGCUUUUGCCUGCACAAUGGACCUUAGUGGCUGAGUAAUAGGAAUCACUGUCAGUCAAUCUGACUGCUGCUCUACAGAAACUACUAAAAUAUGUGGCAUUACACUGUUGUUGGAUACAGAGCAUGCAGAAGUAAUAUCUUAGGAGUGUGUGCCCAUAAGCCUGUGAAGCCCAUUGUGGCUGAAAAAACAAACUUCACCUGUU